CAACAACCCAUCCAUCGCCACGCUCCCUCUCAUCUCCUUGAUCGCCGGUUGCCCUUCCCGAAAUCACCACUCCGGCCGACUGCAUCUGCGCAGAUGCAGCUGCGCCAGUUCUGCCGCUCCGCCUACGAGAAAUGGCGCUCGUCGCCGCCCAGAUCGACCACCUCCGCGCCCUCGUCGCGGCACCUCGCCCGCGUCCGCACCUACCAGCUGACCUGCCUCCCUCCGCCUCGUUGUCCGGCUCCCCGACAGCGACGAGGACGACGAUUACUGUCCGGCGCUCCGCUGCUACAACGAGGAGUACCACUACGAGGACGGGCAGGAGGGGAGCGAGGAGGAUGCCGUGGCGUGGAUCUGGAACGCCGGAUCUGCCUCCUCGAGAACGGACGAGAUAGGGAUGUAGGUGAAUCGUCCAUGGAGGAAGAGAAUGCUCCCCACCUGUAUGCAGAUGGGGCAUUAUCGCUGGACUUGGCCGGACAGGAAACAAGCUGAUUUUGUGCUGACAAGGCGUCACAUGAGGAGACUGGAAAAAAUGCAGACGAGGCCUUGCUGCCGGACUCGCCAAGACUUCCUCCAAGUUCGUGGUGUUUAAGGAAAGGAGGGCAGGUUCGUAGGGGGUUAACAAGCAAGAGAAGUUGGUCAAAGGCAGGCUUCAGUUAAAACUGAUUUAGAACCGGAUGAACAAUGCCGACAUUGCAUAGUUGUAUGCCAUCUAGGGCUGUCUCAAUUUCAUAUCACCCGGAGUUGUCUAAUGUCUCGGAAUAUGCUGAUCUCCGGAGGUAAUAAAUUUUACAUUACUUAGCAUACUUAGAUGAAAAGUUAAAUCAUGCAUGUGUUCGGAAACCAAGUUCAAAAUCAUGAUGUGUUAUCGGUUCCUUUAAUUUCUAAGUUGUGAGCUCUUUUUUGGG